GACGAACGCUGGCGGCGUGCUUAACACAUGCAAGUCGAGCGGAAAGGCCCUGCUUUUGUGGGGUGCUCGAGUGGCGAACGGGUGAGUAACACGUGAGUAACCUGCCCUUGACUUUGGGAUAACUUCAGGAAACUGGGGCUAAUACCGGAUAGGAGCUCCUGCUGCAUGGUGGGGGUUGGAAAGUUUCGGCGGUUGGGGAUGGACUCGCGGCUUAUCAGCUUGUUGGUGGGGUAGUGGCUUACCAAGGCUUUGACGGGUAGCCGGCCUGAGAGGGUGACCGGCCACAUUGGGACUGAGAUAAGGCCCAGACUCCUACGGGAGGCAGCAGUGGGGAAUAUUGCACAAUGGGCGGAAGCCUGAUGAAGCAACGCCGCGUGCGGGAUGACGGCCUUCGGGUUGUAAACCGCUUUCGCCUGUGACGAAGCGUGAGUGACGGUAAUGGGUAAAGAAGCACCGGCUAACUACGUG
rnacentral:rRNA from 1 species